rnacentral:rRNA from 1 species
UACAGAGGUCUCAAGCGUUGUUCGGAUUCAUUGGGCGUAAAGGGUGCGUAGGCGGCGCGGUAAGUCGGGCGUGAAAUUUCGGAGCUUAACUCCGAAACUGCAUUCGAUACUGCCGUGCUUGAGGACUGGAGAGGAGACUGGAAUUUACGGUGUAGCGGUGAAAUGCGUAGAUAUCGUAAGGAAGACCAGUGGCGAAGGCGGGUCUCUGGACAGUUCCUGACGCUGAGGCACGAAGGCCAGGGGAGCAAACGGG